UACGUAGGGGGCUAGCGUUGCUCGGAAUUACUGGGCGUAAAGCGCGCGUAGGCGGUUUGUUAAGUCCGGGGUGAAAUCCUGGAGCUCAACUCCAGAACUGCCUUUGAUACUGGCGAUCUCGAGUCCGGGAGAGGUGAGUGGAACUGCGAGUGUAGAGGUGAAAUUCGUAGAUAUUCGCAAGAACACCAGUGGCGAAGGCGGCUCACUGGCCCGGUACUGACGCUGAGGUGCGAAAGCGUGGGGAGCAAACAGG
rnacentral:rRNA from 1 species